CGAGCUGCGGCGUGCCUAAUACAUGCAAGUCGAGCGAAUGAUAGGGAGCUUGCUCCCUGGAUUUAGCGGCGGACGGGUGAGUAACACGUGGGCAACCUACCUGUAAGACUGGGAUAACUUCGGGAAACCGGAGCUAAUACCGGAUAAUUUCUUUUCUCGCAUGAGAGGAGAUGGAAAGACGGUUUCGGCUGUCACUUACAGAUGGGCCCGCGGCGCAUUAGCUAGUUGGUGAGGUAAUGGCUCACCAAGGCCACGAUGCGUAGCCGACCUGAGAGGGUGAUCGGCCACACUGGGACUGAGACACGGCCCAGACUCCUACGGGAGGCAGCAGUAGGGAAUCUUCCGCAAUGGACGAAAGUCUGACGGAGCAACGCCGCGUGAGCGAAGAAGGCCUUCGGGUCGUAAAGUUCUGUUGUUAGGGAAGAACAAGUACCAGAGUAACUGCUGGUACCUUGACGGUACCUAACCAGAAAGCCACGGCUAACUACGUGCCAGCAGCCGCGGUAAUACGUAGGUGGCAAGCGUUGUCCGGAAUUAUUGGGCGUAAAGCGCGCGCAGGUGGUUCCUUAAGUCUGAUGUGAAAGCCCACGGCUCAACCGUGGAGGGUCAUUGGAAACUGGGGAACUUGAGUGCAGAAGAGGAAAGUGGAAUUCCACGUGUAGCGGUGAAAUGCGUAGAGAUGUGGAGGAACACCAGUGGCGAAGGCGACUUUCUGGUCUGUAACUGACACUGAGGCGCGAAAGCGUGGGGAGCGAACAGGAUUAGAUACCCUGGUAGUCCACGCCGUAAACGAUGAGUGCUAAGUGUUAGAGGGUUUCCGCCCUUUAGUGCUGCAGCUAACGCAUUAAGCACUCCGCCUG
rnacentral:rRNA from 1 species